rnacentral:rRNA from 1 species
CAGAUUGAACGCUGGCGGCAUGCCUAACACAUGCAAGUCGAACGGGGUACUUCGGUACCUAGUGGCGGACGGGUGAGUAACGCGUAGGAAUCUGCCUUGCAGAGGGGGACAACCUGGGGAAACUCAGGCUAAUACCGCAUACGCUCGCAAGAGGAAAGCGGGGGAUCUUCGGACCUCGCGCCGCAAGAAGAGCCUACGUCCGAUUAGCUAGUUGGUAGGGUAAAAGCCUACCAAGGCGACGAUCGGUAGCUGGUCUGAGAGGAUGAUCAGCCACACUGGGACUGAGACACGGCCCAGACUCCUACGGGAGGCAGCAGUGGGGAAUAUUGGACAAUGGGCGCAAGCCUGAUCCAGCAAUGCCGCGUGGGUGAAGAAGGCCUGCGGGUUGUAAAGCCCUUUAAGUGGGGAGGAACGGCAGGAUGCAAACAGUGUCCUGCUCUGACGUUACCCACAGAAUAAGCACCGGCUAACUCCGUGCCAGCAGCCGCGGUAAUAC